UGCGCAGGCGGUUUUGUAAGACAGAGGUGAAAUCCCCGGGCUCAACCUGGGAACUGCCUUUGUGACUGCAAAGCUGGAGUACGGCAGAGGGGGAUGGAAUUCCGCGUGUAGCAGUGAAAUGCGUAGAUAUGCGGAGGAACACCGAUGGCGAAGGCAGUCCCCUGGGCCUGUACUGACGCUCAUGCACGAAAGCGUGGGGAGCAAACA
rnacentral:rRNA from 1 species